AUUGCCCUAGUAACGGCGAGUGAAGCGGCAACAGCUCAAAUUUGAAAUCUGGCCUCCGGGUCCGAGUUGUAAUUUGUAGAGGAUGCUUUUGGCGAGGUGCCUUCCGAGUUCCCUGGAACGGGACGCCAUAGAGGGUGAGAGCCCCGUCUGGUCGGACACCGAGCCUCUGUAAAGCUCCUUCGACGAGUCGAGUAGUUUGGGAAUGCUGCUCAAAAUGGGAGGUAUAUGUCUUCUAAAGCUAAAUAUUGGCCAGAGACCGAUAGCGCACAAGUAGAGUGAUCGAAAGAUGAAAAGCACUUUGAAAAGAGGGUUAAAAAGUACGUGAAAUUGUUGAAAGGGAAGCGCCUAUGACCAGACUUGGGCCCGGUGAAUCAUCCAGCGUUCUCGCUGGUGCACUUUGCCGGGCACAGGCCAGCAUCAGUUUGGCGCGGGGGGUAAAGGUUUUGGGAAUGUGGCUCCCUCGGGAGUGUUAUAGCCCAUUGCGUAAUACCCUGCGCCGGACUGAGGUACGCGCAUCGCAAGGAUGCUGGCGUAAUGGUCAUCAGCGACCCGUCUUGAAACACGGACCAAGGAGUCGUCUUCGUAUGCGAGUGUUCGGGUGUCAAACCCCUACGCGUAAUGAAAGUGAACGCAGGUGAGAGCUUCGGCGCAUCAUCGACCGAUCCUGAUGUUCUCGGAUGGAUUUGAGUAAGAGCAUACGGGGCCGGACCCGAAAGAAGGUGAACUAUGCCUGUAUAGGGUGAAGCCAGAGGAAACUCUGGUGGAGGCUCGCAGCGGUUCUGACGUGCGAAUCGAUCGUCAAAUAUGGGCAUGGGGGCGAAAGACUAAUCGAACCUUCUAGUAGCUGGUUUCCGCCGAAGUUUCCCUCAGGAUAGCAGUGUUGAACUCAGUUUUAUGAGGUAAAGCGAAUGAUUAGGGACUCGGGGGCGCUAUAUUGCCUUCAUCCAUUCUCAAACUUUAAAUAUGUAAGAAGCCCUUGUUACUUAAUUGAACGUGGGCAUUCGAAUGUAUCAACACUAGUGGGCCAUUUUUGGUAAGCAGAACUGGCGAUGCGGGAUGAACCGAACGCGAGGUUAAGGUGCCGGAGUGGACGCUCAUCAGACACCACAAAAGGUGUUAGUACAUCUUGACAGCAGGACGGUGGCCAUGGAAGUCGGAAUCCGCUAAGGACUGUGUAACAACUCACCUGCCGAAUGUACUAGCCCUGAAAAUGGAUGGCGCUCAAGCGUCCCACCCAUACCUCGCCCUCAGGGUAGAAACGAAGCCCUGAGGAGUAGGCGGACGUGGAGGUCAGUGACGAAGCCU
rnacentral:rRNA from 1 species